GAACUUUUGCUGCACUGUCUGACACUCCAUUCUGAUUUUCCAAAGGUACCACAGAACCAGUUCUGACACCAGAGCUGUUUUCAGAGUUGCAAAUAACUCCCGAGGGACUGUCCAACUUAAUAGCACCUUUAUGUUCCUUGAAACUUGAGGAUUCACUUUCUCCAUCACUUAGGCUCUCAAAAGUGUCCACAGAAGGGAUAGAGUCAUGCUUUAUAUGCUGUAUGGUAUGUUUAAGGGGUGGACAGUACAACUCUGCUAGCUUUUUGCAGAAGUGAUUCAGAGGAAAUCCCACCACAUUCAAGAAGUCUCCAUGGACAUACUCAACUAACAUUCCACCAAGGGCCUGGAUUCCAUAUCCACCAGCCUUGUCCAUGGGCUCUCCACUAUGAAUGUAUUCCCAUAAGAGCUCUUCUGAAAGGUCCGAAAAUUUUACUUUAGUUUCUUCAUAGAAAUCAGUGAUUUCUGUCUCUAGCUGAUUGUCUUUACUGCUGCAGUGUAUAAUAACCACUCCUGUGAAGACACUGUGCUCCUUCCCACUCAACCUUGAUAACAUCCUAUAUGCAUCUUGCUUAUCAACUGGUUUCUCC
rnacentral:lncRNA from 1 species